GUAUAUUGUAUGUGUGUCAAAUUCUUAAAAUCCUUGUUAUUUGCAAACCUCCCAAGUGUCCCUAUUUAGGGCCCAAAUCCCUCUGUGCCUAUUUUCUCUCCUAAUGUCUCUUUUCUUGGAGCUCCAUAUUAUGUGAGUGUAUAACAGAGCUCCACAGCAAUAAUACUCCCAGUAAUGUGUCUGAGUGUAUAACAGAGCUCCACAGCAAUAAUACUCCCAGUAAUGUGCCUGAAUGUAUAACAGAGCUCCACAGCAAUAAUACUCCCAGUAAUGUGCCUGAAUGUAUAACAGAGCUCCACGGCAAUAAUACUCCCCUCUAGUGCAUGCUCUCAGUAAGAAUGGACGGUUUGUAUAUAUUAGUCAGUAGCCUAAAAUAUCUCAGAACAGCCCCACCCCUG